rnacentral:rRNA from 1 species
CCUACGGGAGGCAGCAGUGAGGAAUAUUGGUCAAUGGACGCAAGUCUGAACCAGCCACGUCGCGUGAAGGAAGACGGCCCUACGGGUUGUAAACUUCUUUUGUAAGGGAAUAAAGUGCAGUACGCGUACUGUUUUGCAUGUACCUUACGAAUAAGGAUCGGCUAACUCCGUGCCAGCAGCCGCGGUAAUA